CCCUCCCCCUUCCAGCCUGUGACACACUUUCUCUCCUUUUUUCUCUCUUUUGCCUCCUUUGGCCUCCGGACUGCUGCCCCGGUGGCGCGCGGCCCCCUACCGGCCCUGCAGCCCCUGGGCCGGCUGCGCCCCUCGCACGGUCCGGGCGGCGGGGACCGAGGGCCGGGGCCCCGGGGGGAAGACGGCGGCCUGCGCGGAGCAUGAGCGGCCCAGAUCCUGCCCAUCACACCUCCACAUCCAGAAGGAAACUGGCUCAGGGAAGGACCAGCCCCAGCCAGAAGGAGUAAAAAGAAUAAAAGUCACCUCCUGUCUAUUGAGUGCCGACUCUAUGCCAGGAGGAGCGCCAGAGAUGGAUGACUAUAUGGAGACGCUGAAGGAUGAGGAGGACGCCUUGUGGGAGAACGUGGAGUGCAACCGGCACAUGCUGAGUCGCUAUAUCAACCCAGCCAAGCUCACCCCCUACCUGCGCCAGUGCAAGGUCAUUGACGAACAAGAUGAAGAUGAAGUGCUUAACGCUCCCAUGCUGCCGUCCAAGAUCAACCGGGCAGGCCGACUGCUGGACAUUCUACAUACGAAGGGGCAAAGGGGCUACGUGGUCUUCUUGGAGAGUCUGGAAUUUUACUACCCAGAAUUGUACAAACUGGUGACUGGAAAGGAACCCACUCGUAGAUUCUCCACCAUUGUGGUGGAGGAGGGCCACGAGGGCCUCACGCACUUCCUGAUGAACGAGGUCAUCAAGCUGCAGCAGCAGAUGAAGGCCAAAGACCUGCAGCGGUGUGAGCUGCUGGCCAAGUCGCGACAGCUGGAGGACGAGAAGAAGCAGCUGACGCUGACACAGGUGGAGCUGCUGACCUUCCAGGACCGGUACUACAAGAUGAAGGAGGAGCGGGACAGCUACAACGACGAGCUGGUCAAGGUGAAGGACGACAACUACAGCUUGGCCAUGCGCUACGCCCAGCUCAGCGAAGAGAAGAACAUGGCGGUCAUGCGGAGCCGAGACCUGCAACUCGAGAUCGACCAGCUCAAGCAUCGAUUGAAUAAGAUGGAGGAGGAAUGCAAGCUGGAGAGGAACCAGUCGCUGAAACUAAAGAACGACAUCGAGAACCGGCCCAAGAGGGAGCAAGUUCUGGAGCUGGAGCGGGAGAAUGAGAUGCUGAAGACCAAGAUUCAGGAGCUGCAGUCCAUCAUCCAGGCCGGGAAGCGCAGCCUGCCAGACUCGGACAAGGCCAUCCUGGACAUCCUAGAGCAUGACCGCAAGGAGGCCCUGGAGGACCGACAGGAGCUCGUCAACAAGAUCUACAACCUGCAGGAGGAGGUCCGCCAGGCGGAGGAGCUGAGGGACAAGUACCUGGAGGAGAGGGAGGACCUGGAGCUGAAGUGCUCGACGCUGGGGAAGGACUGCGAGAUGUACAAGCACCGCAUGAACACCGUCAUGCUGCAGCUGGAGGAGGUGGAGCGGGAGCGGGACCAGGCCUUCCAUUCCCGGGACGAGGCGCAGACCCAGUACUCCCAGUGCUUAAUCGAAAAGGACAAGUACAGGAAACAGAUCCGCGAGCUGGAGGAGAGGAACGACGAGAUGAGGAUCGAGAUGGUCCGGCGGGAAGCCUGCAUCGUGAACCUGGAGAGCAAGCUCCGGCGCCUCUCCAAGGACAGUGGCAGCCUCGAGCAGAGUUUGCCCAGGAACCUACCAGUGACCAUCAUCUCUCAGAACUUCGGGGACACCAGCCCCAGGACCAACGGUCAGGAGGCUGACGAUUCUUCAACCUCAGAGGAUUCGCCGGAGGACAGCCGCUACUUCCUGCCCUACCACCCGCCCAAGCGCAGGAUGAACCUGAAGGGCAUCCAGCUGCAGAGAGCCAAAUCCCCCAUCAGCCUGAAGCGAACAUCAGAUUUUCAAGGGAGGGGACACGAAGAAGAUGUCAUGGACGCCAGCCCCAGCUCCUCCAGGUCGCUACCCGUCACCACCUCCUUCUCCAAGAUGCAGCCCCAUCGAAGCCGUUCCAGCAUCAUGUCAAUCAUGGCCGAGCCCCCGGGAAACGACUCCAUCGUCAGACGCUACAAGGAAGAUGCACCUCAUCGGAGCACAGUUGAAGAAGACAAUGACAGCGGUGGCUUCGAUGCCUUAGACCUUGACGAUGACAGUCACGAGCGGUACUCCUUUGGACCCCCCUCCAUCCACUCCUCCUCCUCCUCCCACCAGUCUGAGGGCCUGGACGCCUAUGACCUGGAGCAGGUCAACCUCAUGUUUAGGAAGUUCUCUCUAGAAAGACCCUUCCGGCCGUCUGUCACGUCCGUGGGGCACGUGCGGGGCCCCGGGCCCUCGGUGCAGCACACCACGCUGAGCGGCGACAGCCUCACGUCCCAGCUCACGCUGCUCGGGGGCAACGCGAGCGGGAGCUUCGUCCACUCGGUCAAGCCGGGCUCCCUGGCCGAGAAGGCCGGCCUCCGCGAGGGCCUCCAGCUGCUGCUGCUAGAAGGCUGCAUCAAAGGCGAGAAGCAGAGCGUUCCCUUGGAGACGUGCACGAAGGAGGAGGCGCACUGGACCAUCCAGAGGUGCAGUGGUCCCGUCACGCUGCACUACAAGGUCAACCAGGAAGGGUACCGGAAGCUGCUGAAGGACAUGGAGGAGGGCCUGAUCACGUCGGGGGACUCCUUCUACAUCCGGCUCAACCUGAACAUCUCCAGCCAGCUGGACGCCUGCUCCAUGUCCCUGAAGUGCGAUGACGUCGUGCACGUCCGCGACACCAUGUACCAGGACAAGCACGAGUGGCUGUGUGCGCGGGUCGACCCCUUCACGGACCACGACCUGGACAUGGGCACCAUCCCCAGCUACAGCCGAGCCCAGCAGCUCCUCCUGGUCAAGCUGCAGCGCCUGAUGCACCGGGGCAGCCGGGAGGAGGUGGACACGGCCCACCACACCCUGAGGGCCCUCCGGAACACCCUGCAGCCCGAAGAACCACUUCCCACUGCGGACCCCCGGGUCAGCCCCCGCCUCUCACGAGCGAGUUUCCUUUUCGGCCAGCUCCUUCAGUUCGUCAGCAGGUCCGAGAACAAGUACAAGCGGAUGAACAGCCACGAGCGCGUGCGCAUCGUCUCAGGGAGCCCGCGGGGGAGCCUGGCCCGGUCCUCGCUGGACGCCACGAAGCUCCUGACCGAGAAGCAGGAAGAGCUGGACCCCGAGAGCGAGCUCGGCAGGAACCUCAGCCUGAUCCCCUACAGCCUGGUGCGCGCCUUCCACUGCGAGCGCCGCCGGCCCGUCCUCUUCACGCCCACCAUGCUGGCCAAGGCGCUGGUCCAGAAGCUGCUCAACUCAGGGGGCGCGAUGGAGUUCACCAUGUGCAAGCCAGAUGUUGUCACGAGAGACGAGUUCCUCAGAAAGCAGAAGACAGAGACCAUCAUCUACUCCCGAGAGAAGAACCCCAACUCCUUUGAAUGUGUCGUUCCCGCCCACAUCGAGGCUGUGGCGGCCAAGAACAAGCACUGCCUACUGGAGGCCGGGAUCAGCUGCACCAGGGACCUGAUCAAGUCUCGCAUCUACCCCAUCGUGCUCUUCGUCCGGGUGUCGGAGAAGAACAUCAAGAAGUUCAGGAAGAUGCUGGCCCGGCCCGAGACGGAGGAGGAGUUCCUGCGCCUGUGCCGGCUGAAGGAGAAGGAGCUGGAGGCCCUGCCGUGCCUGUACGCCAGCGUGGAGGCGGACAUGUGGGGCAGCGUGGAGGACCUGCUCCGCGUCAUUAAGGACAAGAUCGGGGACGAACAGCGCAAGACCGUCUGGGUGGACGAGGACCAGCUGUGAGGCGGGGGCACCGCUGAGUCCCAGCGGGACUCGGGAGGGGGUCCGGAUCCCGCGGGGCCGCGCCGAGGGGCGAGGGGCGUCCUGCUGCCUAGAUGGCCUGGGGGCUCCGUCCUCCCGUUGAGGGAUGCCCUCCAGGGAGCCCCCCGGGGGCAGAUGCUGGUCGGGAGGGAGCAGGGAGCCGUCCACUCCACCCAGGGCUGACCUGCUGAGACAGCCAGCCCUGCGGGCGUGAGUCGGGAGACAGGACCCCACGAAGGACACAGAGCCAGGUCGGAGGCCAGCGGCCCCUGGAAGCCGGAACAGCAGUUGAAUGUCACGCGUGGAAUAGGUAACAUCCUACGUGAUGCAGCCUCGCUCCGUCUUUCAGUUCGGGAAGCAGCAUGUGGGCAAAGGCCCUCCGGUGGGCUUACUGCCCACGGCCCAAGAGCCACACUCCCUCCACAGCAGACAGCAAAGGCCUUAUGGGCUCUAGAACCAUUCUUCUCCUCGACCCUCUCAAUGCAAACUUCCUGAGUACAGCCCCAACAGGCACAACCAAACCAGGCCAGCUCCAGCCUGGCACCAUGGCGAGUAUUCAUUCAGCAGCUGGUAGGUAGCAGGCUGGGGUUCAGAUCUAGGUCUGUGUGUUCAUGGGAAUUGUGGGAGCAACUGCUCGUUGACAAUCCAUGUCUACGCUGCCUUUCUCACCAACUGAAUCCUGACUGUAUCCUGGGAAACCACGUGCACAGCUAAAAGACCAUAGUCCCCAGCCUCCCUGGCAGCUGGAGUAAUCAAGGAAAUGUAAGGCAAGGUUUAGGGUAGAGACAAAGCAGACAAACAGCCCUUCCUCCCGUUUCCUGCCUAAAAUACAGAUGUGAUGGCUGGAUCUCCUGCAGUCAUUUUGGAUCUUGAGGUGCCCUUGAAGAGGGAAACCUUGCACGGAGGAUGGUGGAACAGAAAGCCAGAGUCACUGAUGACACUUUGGAGCCCAGGACUGCUGCUUGGGUUUCUUUUACAUGAGACUGAA